GAGACUUUAAUUUAACGGCAAAAUAUGUGACUUUUAAUCAUCAUUAUGUGGGUUCAAAUCCCGCAGGUCUUA
rnacentral:tRNA from 1 species